rnacentral:rRNA from 1 species
GACGAACGCUGGCGGCGUGCUUAACACAUGCAAGUCGAACGGAAAGGCCCUGCUUUUGUGGGGUGCUCGAGUGGCGAACGGGUGAGUAACACGUGAGUAACCUGCCCUUGACUUUGGGAUAACUUCAGGAAACUGGGGCUAAUACCGGAUAGGAGCUCCUGCUGCAUGGUGGGGGUUGGAAAGUUUCGGCGGUUGGGGAUGGACUCGCGGGUUAUCAGCUUGUUGGUGGGGUAGUGGCUUACCAAGGCUUUGACGGGUAGCCGGCCUGAGAGGGUGACCGGCCACAUUGGGACUGAGGUACGGCCCAGACGCCUACGGGAGGCAGCAGGGGGGAAUAUUGCACAAUGGGCGGAAGCCUGAUGCAGCAACGCCGCGUGCGGGAUGACGGCCUUCGGGUUGUAAACCGCUUUCGCCUGUGACGAAGCGUGAGUGACGGUAAUGGGUAAAGAAGCACCGGCUAACUACGUG